rnacentral:rRNA from 1 species
UACAGAGGUCUCAAGCGUUGUUCGGAUUCAUUGGGCGUAAAGGGUGCGUAGGUGGCGUCGUAAGUCGGGUGUGAAAUUUCGGAGCUUAACUCCGAAACUGCAUUCGAUACUGCGGUGCUUGAGGACUGGAGAGGAGACUGGAAUUUACGGUGUAGCAGUGAAAUGCGUAGAGAUCGUAAGGAAGACCAGUGGCGAAGGCGGCAUCCUGGACCGAGAUUGACGCUGAGGCGCGAAAGCCAGGGGAGCAAACGGG